rnacentral:rRNA from 1 species
AUUGAACGCUGGCGGCAUGCCUUACACAUGCAAGUCGAACGGCAGCACGGGUGCUUGCACCUGGUGGCGAGUGGCGAACGGGUGAGUAAUACAUCGGAACAUGUCCUGUAGUGGGGGAUAGCCCGGCGAAAGCCGGAUUAAUACCGCAUACGAUCUACGGAUGAAAGCGGGGGACCUUCGGGCCUCGCGCUAUAGGGUUGGCUGAUGGCUGAUUAGCUAGUUGGUGGGGUAAAGGCCUACCAAGGCGACGAUCAGUAGCUGGUCUGAGAGGACGAACAGCCACACUGGGACUGAGACACGGCCCAGACUCCUACGGGAGGCAGCAGUGGGGAAUUUUGGACAAUGGGCGAAAGCCUGAUCCAGCAAUGCCGCGUGUGUGAAGAAGGCCUUCGGGUUGUAAAGCACUUUUGUCCGGAAAGAAAUCCUUGGCCCUAAUACGGUCGGGGGAUGACGGUACCGGAAGAAUAAGCACCGGCUAACUACGUG